rnacentral:lncRNA from 1 species
CCUCUCGUGAUUCAGCACUAGCUCUCAGAGGUCAUGGAUCCUCGCCUCCUUCCCGGCCGGCCGCUUCUGGUUCUCCGAACAGGCCACCCCACCAUAGUUCUUCGUUCUUCAGGUAAAUAUAAAUGUUUAAUUUUUAUUAGCUAUGAGAUUGGUUGUAUAUCUCUAUAGUUUUUUAUUCUUUCUACUUGUAAUUAUCGAAUCUGUCCAUUUAGUUGUUGGGUAUUGUGUAUUGCCAACAGAAGAACAAUGAACAACAGCUUGAGUACAGUAGAAGCAGAUCCAUUCUGGGGUGAUGCUUAUGUUUGUUGGAUUCUUAUUUUACUCAGACGCAGCAUGUUGAUUAGUGCUAUGACAUAAUUAUGGUAUUGUGUAUUGCUACCAUAAGCAGUGCACCAACUGUACAUAAACGCUAACCGGUUUCUAGCCGGAAGCAAUACACUAGCAAAUCUAGCUAUUCUGGUGAUUCUUCAGUGGCAAGCCGAAACGCACACACAUGAGACACAGUGGCUAUUUUUUCUCUCUCUCCAUGCAAAGAUACAUAUGCUAAUGCAUGGAUAUAUACGCGCCCGUGCAGCCAACUUGUACAACACUGAAUCUAUUUCAAACCGGUUACUUCCCUAAUCUAAUCACUAGGACUACAAUAGGAAACAAACAACUAUUCUCUAUGGACAAGUUUGUUAAUUCCAACAGCUUGGUGGAUCGCUGCUAGACAACUUUCCAAUUAGCUGAAGCAAAUGGAACAAGUUGAUAUGUUGUGGUACAUUGAUUCGUUUAUUCUGGACGGAUGCAUCAAGUAGGAAAAACUAUGGGCAUUUCAGCGAUGUCGUAUCUUUUGAUUCGACAUACAACACUAACCAAUAUGAAUACACGUUUGCGCCCUUCACUGGAGUAAACCAUCAUAUGCAAAGUGUCUUGUUUGGGGCGGGGUUUCUACUUCAUGAGACAGAAGAAUCCUAUACUUGGUUGUUCAGGUCAUUUCUUAGAGCAAUGGGUGUGGUUGCGCCUAGAGUGAUCAUAACUGAUGAAUGUGUUAAGAUGAAAAAUGCAAUUGGAGAAACUCUACCAAAUACGACACAUGAUUGUGCAUCUGGCACAUUAUGGAAAAGGUUCCAAGGAAGGUACAUCCGGAGUUGAGGAAUAACCUUGUGUUCUAUGAUAGGCUAAAAUAUUGUGUGUGGAAUUCUGAAACACCUACUGAAUUUGAGGAUAGAUGGCAGUCUUUCAUCACAGAGUUUCAGUUGGAGGAGCACGAAUGGUUCGCCAAAAGAUAUAGGCUUCGUGCGACAUGGAUACCAGCUUAUUUCAUGGAUAUUCACCUAGCUGGUCUACUCAGGACAACUUCUAUUUCAGAGAGUGCAAAUUCAUUUUUUAAACAUUUUAUCCGUCCCAAGCUUACCUUUGUUGAGUUUUGGCUUAGAUUUGACACUGCUUUGAAAGCUCAAAGGCAAAGUGAGCUAAUGGCUGAUAACACAAGUGAAUACACAACAAGUGAGUUGUUGACAUCAUGGGAAAUAGAGAGACAAGGCAGAGCACUAUUCACACAUGAGGUUUUUGAAUUGUUUCAGGCUCAGGUGCUUGCUGCCAGAGAUGAUUGUGAUGUUCAGCAGACAGAAAAUCGCGAGGGAAUUAAAAUCAUGUUUGUCAGCGAUCAAUACAACAAGAUUAGAGAAGUGUGUUAUGACACAACAUCCAUGAGUGCUAAAUGUUCUUGCAAGCUUUUUGAGUCCAAGGGAAUUGUGUGUCGUCACAUUAUCUGGGUAUUGAGGGGUGCAAAAAUAAAUGAAUUGCCAAGCCUUUAUAUUCUUAAGCGAUGGCAGAAAAUUUGCAAAAUGUAUAUUUAUUAUCAUGUAGAUGUAGAUACAUUAAUCUACCUUGACUCACAUGAUGUGAUUUUUUUUCAUAUUUCCUAGGGACAUUGUCUAUGAUGGGGAAGGGAAUAUUCUUGAAGAAAAUUUAAUAGAUCCAAUUGACAUUACUGUGAAAAGGAAGAUAGUUGCUGUGAGGGAUAAGCUAGAAGAUCUCAUACGAAAUUCCAAAUGCUCCAUGGACGGAAUUGAAUUCCUGCACAAUAGUUUGUGUAGCACUGAGUUGGUUUAGCCCAACUAGUUUCGGCCGUACCAUGCAAUACACAAGAAAAUGAGGAGUCGUGUAUUGGGAGCAUCAUUCCAAAGCAUGUUACCAUCCUCACACCUAAGGAUAUCAAUGCAAGGGGCACAUGCUCUAGAAUAAAGGGGCAUAGGGAUGGUGUGAGGAGUGGAUCUGGUGAGAAGAGAAGGCCUGGAAUUCAUCAAAAAGUCAUGCGCAAAUGCAGCAUUUGUAAGGAAAUGGUGUUUCAUGAUGCAAGAACAUGUUCUAAGAAACAAACGACAAAGGUUUGUGCUUCUUCUUGCUUCGAAGACUACCACUUAUUUGUCUUGCUAUGACCACUCAACUAGGUUGAUUGAAACGAUUAGGCAUACAUAGAUAAUUUACCAGAGAUAUGUGUGCCUUCCAUUUUACUGACCUAUGGUAUCGCUACAGCAAGGAGUAUAUGAUUUAGUACUAAUCCUUCAUCCAUGACAUGAGCCUAUCUGGCAUCUUGUUCAUUUAUAUUUUCCUGUGCUGUUGUGGUUUUUUUAUUAUUGAAGGUAUAAUAUAAUGCAUGCCACCAAGUUUGUUGUUUAUAGCUAUCAAAUUUGAAUAAUAAUUUACAUCAGGGCAUUGAUAAAACUCCCUUUAAAUUGCUCAAUGCCACUUAUUUGUCGUUCCCAUUUGUGCACCAAUCAUGGAAUUGUAAUCCAUUUAUCGUAGGUCUAUAAUGCAAUAAUGAACUAUGAUGCAACAAAAUAUUUGUACUCUCUCUAUUAUGUUUCCUAGGUUGGAGUGCUGAAUGAAGCCGGACAUAUAGAACGACUGUCUCUCUUCUCAAGAUAUGCUAUUUGGUAUAUGUUGUUGACUGACCCCUAUUUACUUGUGUGUUCACCUAGGUAGAUCGAGCUGAUCAAGUGUAUGAGAGCCCAUGGAGGUUGUCAUCUCUUUCCCAGCAGGAAGCUCUAUUGCUAGGAAGCACUAACAUGAGGCAAAACGACAAAUAUUUUUGGUCUUGUACCAGCAAGAUGCUUGUUGGGCGAUGAUAAUUUUAGUCUUUACCACUUGGUCUUGUCGGCCAUGUACUAAAAAUGAUCUGUAUGCCUCAUGUACCCAAGUACUCAAAUGCUUGCUGAGCACAGAUAAUUUCAGUCCUUAAUUUGCUCUACUUCCAGUUUGACAUGUAUGCGUGGUUCUACUUGCCUCUUCGUGAUGUGUUCUCAUGUACUGAAAUGCUUGCCGAGCAGCUAUAAUUUCAAUCCUUAGGUUGCUAUAUUUCCAGUUUGACAUGUACGUGUGAUUCUACCUGAUCCGGGAUGGCUUAUUAUCCCAUGUGCUCAAAUAUUUGUUAUAUAUACGGUUGUUUCUUAGUGACCAAGAUGUUCAACUCUCUUGAAAAGUUAGUGGUGUAACAUAAAUGUGUCUGGAUUUUGCGCAGUAAAUAUUUGCUCAGAUUUUAUAUGAGACCAGUUGUUUCAAACUAAGAGAUGGGCAUCAGCACAGUUCAUGUCUGAAAAUAGUUGUAUUUCACAAAGACUUGAGGUGCAUAAUGCAAAAUGUCCUAUUUCAUGUCUAACUGUCAGAGGGGGUUUUCUGUAAAGUCUACAUUAAGUGGGCCGAGAUCCCUCCACCUAAAUCUGUACCAUUGAUCUCCAAUCUAGUGGUCCAGGAUGUCUUUUUCUAUUUUUGUACAGCAAGCUCAGAUUCUACACAAGUCGUUCCCUUUAUACAGCGUGCUUCAGAAAAAAGAAAAAAGAUCUGUGGGACCAAGGCGACUAGCGAUCGGCCUGAAAAAUAGCAUUGGUAGUUAUAACACGGCGUCUAUUACUAGUAGAGGGAAUAAUGCGUACACACAUGCAUGCAGUGCUUCCACCCCGGGUACACACAUGCAUGCACUUACUCCAUUCCGUAGUUACAUGGAGAGAAAAUUGUGGACUUGAUUGCGGUUACCAUGCCCUAAUUAAUUGAGCAUUAAACCAAACACGUCUAAAGUCUCUCUGGUGGUGGAAAUGCAUUGAGAGAAAUGCAUCAUAAUGAAGCGCGCCCUGUAAACUGUGACGGAGGGAGGAGUAGUAUGAAGGUUCAAAACCAAGUACAGAUAUGGCCAGUCGGUCAACGCACCUCCUCUUGGCAUAUCACUGACAUGUGGGAUAGGAGUGUGAGCAAACCGAUCUCAAUUGACGGCAAAGAGCCAACCCGCCGUUCCUUGAGAGAGACGAGGAGCGAGAACACACAGACGGGUUCGCAUGGAGGCCAAGAUAUAUUCGAGCAUGGUUGGUUGAUCGAUAUCAUUCAUUGCAUGUUGGCAGUGGCGGAGCUACGUGAGGACAAAAGGUGGCCAUGGCCCGCCCAGCCUAAGAGCAAAACACUCGCACUUUGCAUGAAGUGAUGGCCAGCUCAAGAGAAAUUCCCUUCAGAUUGGCCUGCCCGGCCCGCCCAGUUUUUGGUUUCAAGCUCCGCCACUGCAUGUUGGGCUGCCGUUUUCCGCCCUUCUCCGGAAUAAACGUGUACUUUAUCAAAGAUAAAAAUAAAUAAGAGUACAAACGCUCCACCAUGCGGUUCUAGUAGUAGUACUACUCGUACUACUGCGCUUGGCUCUUCGCCUCUUCGUGAAGUCGAACAAUGAUGGUACUCCGCAUGUUGGGUACUACAGUGUAUGACUCUGACAAUUUGACACCGAAUGUACUGAUGCAUUUCCACCGAGGGUAGGUUGCAUUAGUCAAAAGGUGUAAGGGAGCUUCACCUUGUCCUGCAAGCUUCUCCUCUUUCUGCGAGUUGACGGGACACACCAAAAAAUAGUGCUAGUCCAUACUCCCUCCUUUCCGGUUAAUAUGGCUCAAUCCUUUUUGCGGGUAAAUGAGAGAGCUUUAUUCAUAUAUAAGCAUUCUUAGGAGAGCCAAGACACUGGUCACUAGGAAGCGAGGUACCCCGCAGAAAAAGAAGUAGGAAGCGAGGUGUUUCAUCAAGCCAGCUCUCGGCCACAUUCAAAGUGCAGCAAGCACGGUUCGCACGAAGAUGCGCCGCAAGGUUUGCUGACCUGUUUACAUGCUGAAUAUCAAAAAAAGAGGAAAUAUUACCGAGCGCUACUAUUUUUAACAGGAUAUGAGCCAGAAUUAAGCGAGAAUUGUGGCGAGUGUUCCAUACAAUCAACUUCCAUUAUCACAUGCGAGAACCCUCGAAGAUAACCAAAUGUGUUGAAGAUUGCUUUAUCACAUUUUAUAAUUAUAGUAAGAGUGUAGACGCUCCUCCAUCCAGUUCCUAGUACUAGUAUAGUACGUACCUUUAUAGACUAUAUUAGUAAACUUUGCGCUUGGCUGUUUGCCUAUUCGGGAAGUCGAACAAUAGUAGCACUAGUAGUAUAGUGUAUGCUUCUGGCAAUCUGACACCGAAUUAACUGUUGCACGUCCACCGCCUGGGCGAGGGAGAGCUUGCAUUAGUCAAAAGUUUCUCCUUGUCCUGUGAGCCACCGCGCGCAAGUAAUGCUAGUCCAUACUGCCUCCUCUCCGGUUAAUAUGUAUUAAUUUCAAACAAGAUAAAUACACUGUCUGUCACUGUAUAUUUGUAAAAAUACGGUCAGUGGACUUCAUAAUACGCUCAUUGCGCUCAAUAUAUAUAUUUUUUGGUGUUUAUACGGUCACUAGCUCACCCUGACUGAGUAUGUGUGUGCAUGCACGUGUAGGUUGAGCACUUAGCGUGAUCGUGUGUGUUCCGUCGUGUGCUCAGACAUGCAUGCAUUAGGGUGUCGCGCGCGUUUUUGCGUCCAUGUGUACGUGUGACUGUUGCAUACACGUAGGGGGAGUACGUGUAGGGGCCACUAAGGAGCAGUCAAAUCACACAGUAAAUCACGUCCGUCGUGUUCGUGUCUCACCCUCCUCCACGGCUCGACCCGACACGGUCGCUCGGCAUGCCACUCACCGCAAACCGAGUAUACGCUAACUUUCCCGCCUGCUUGUCGAUGGAUCGUGCCAUGGAGUACUACUAGCACUACUGGAAGAGAUUGACGAGUUGGGGAAGGACAGCUAGCUGUAGCACGGACUCCCAAAAACUUUUUACAUGCAUGUUGUAGCCGGCUAUUGCGACCUUUGAACACGGAGCAGCCGCGUGCACCCAGAAGCGGCGCGGGCGACGCUCUCUCGGCCGGCGCGCCGCUUCAAUGCCGGCGCCAGUGAGAGGUCAUGUCCGCUCUGGCCGAGCAUGAAUGCGGCACAGACCGUUUCGGGCGGGAAGCACGUGCGGGGGAUGAAGAGGGUUCGGGUUGGUCAGGACCGGCCGUGGCAGCGGUCCGGACGUGCGCAAACAAGAGAUAUUGUACGUUAAUAUUGUUGCGUAUAUAACUAACAACGUAAAUAAUGUGCCAGUUGGACAAAUAUGAUUGGAGAUGGAGAUGGAAAUGGAAUUUUACGUAAACACGGAUAUGCAUGUCUAUGUCUAUGUGUGUGUGCGCGACGACUCUCACGACCUGGAAGCGGGGGCGUAUUUUUGAUCGAGUUUUCUUUCUUGGUACGUUAGAAAAUCAGUUUGUCCAAUUCACAUCUAGAUGUUAUUUAAGGAUAUCACAUCUAAGCUCCCACAAGUAUAUAAUGUAGCAACAAGAAACAAAAAAAACUAGGACAAAAAAAUAGACCACAAACAGAGUGGACAUCAACUUAGAUGUGACAUAACUAUGUCACAUCUAGAUGUGUCCUAGACAGACCCUUAAAAAAUUGCCUGCCAGUUUUCGUUUCUUUUUUCCAGGAACGCGCGUAUUCUAUUUAAAACCACUGCUAUGGAGAGAUUUGUGUACUCCAUUAUAGCCUCUUGUUUGAUAGAGUUUCUCGCGUCUCGCUCUCUCACCCUCUCCAUAUCAAAACAAGAUGAUAGUGUCCAGUCUAUCUCUCUCCUCACCGGUGGUCAUAGAUCCGGCCAAAUCCCGUCCGCUGCGGGAGGUGAGGAGGUGCAGCAUUGAUGUUGUCGCCGUCGGCGACGGGGGAGCCGAUGCACACCGUCCUCUCGGAGCCGGUGCUGGCGCGGACGAAGAUCCUCCACGCCCUUGUUCGCUGCCGUCGUGUGGGCAGAUCCCGCCCGCCCGCCUAAACGACAUCUCGCCCACCUGAGGUAUAACUUCUUGUACUGGUCCAGCUGCCCAGGUCGCUGCGUGUGGGUUUUCUUCUAUGCGACUAAUCCCCAGCUCCCCACGCAUAGUAGCUAGGGUUUGUCGGCUGGUCCACCAUCACCUACUAGUACUAUUAUAGAGGAAAUGCCACUCGAAAAAUUGUCCUGAUUUAUGCCUCGGUGGAGGUAUACAUGUUGUUUCGACAAAAAGUACAUGGUGGUUGUGCGGUCAUUGUCCAUAUGGUGGUAGUACUAUCACUGGUUAAAUGAAGAAAUGCUUUUUUUCUCUGGUAUCCUGGUUUAGUUCCCAUCAAGAUAUAAUUAUGAUGCUUCCGUUUGUUGGUGUACUUUUCAUUAACCCUUUUUUAUAUUUUUGGAAACAGCGAUGCGUGUCUCCAUACCCGGGCAUGUCUUCCUCAAUUUUAGUGGAACUGCACAAAAUUGGAUGGCCAUUCUUGUUUCGCCUCACUGUCCUCUGCCACAUGGUUCUUCCUUCCUCGAGCUUGAUUACUGAGAAGAAAUAGACCACAGUGAGGAUUUGUCGAACUUCAUAGGUGCCUCACCCAAACUUGAUGCCAAAUGGAUGAUGCAUCACCACGAUGACCUAUCGAUGCUCAUGGUCGCGCCUCAUGGUUGCGUCGGCUGGUGAAGCUGAUCGAUUUUCAAUGAAAAACAAGCUGUCUUCCAUCAGUGCUCUUUGCUUGUUACGCACAAAGAUGAUAUCCUUCGUCAGUUCACCUUGGUUGCAUUGGAGACGCAGUCGUCUUUCACGUUGGUGCAAUUUUAUCACACAAUUGGCUAUGAACCAAAUGUUUCCUCGAAGAAGGAUCGACAUUGGUACUAAGAGCAUAAGUUUUGUAUUGAUUUCUAAGCCUUCUCACAACUUUGUCUGCAGCUCCCCUGUAAUUUUAUUUGUCCAACUAUUAACUUUGAUUUAAAAAUAUGGUGUGGACUAAAAACCCAGAUGGACGUAGUAGCCCUCCAUUUUUAUUUACUCCGCAUAUUAGAUUUGACUGAAGUCAAACUUUGUAAUACUCUCAAACCUUUUCGAUAAUUGAAAUUAAAAUUCUUUAUUUGUACACACUCUCACAUGUUUCCGAUAAUUUGGCGCAUGUGUGGUUGUUCACUUAAGGGAGGGUAGUGUACCACACGUGAAGGACAGGAAGUGCGACCAGGACGCGUGGGCGUGGAUCGUUAGUUCAUCGGAAGUAGUACUCCCUCUGUACAUUAAAUAAAGAGUUUCGUUUCGUACUUACACAAUUUAAAACGAUUGUUAUGGAGAGAAUAACAAAACCACUUCACUAUAUACUAGUCGUAUACACACGAGAGUACUAUAUGGACACAGCUUCAUUGACUUAGUGCACCUGCCUUUGGGUUUAUGAUAGGUGGGCCCAAAAUGUGGCUGGCUCACCUGUCAUACAGCCAAAAGCAGAUGGAGUGAAGGCACCGGAGCUCAGUCCGUACUACAUUACUACUCCCUCCGUAAAAGAAUAUAAGAGCGUUUAGAUCACUACUUUAGUAAUCUAAACGCUCUUAUAUUAGUUUACAGAGGGAGUAUAUAUAUAAACGGGAGCCUCAGCGCUUGUUCGCUAGGGUUUUCACCCUCCACAUGCUCGCCGCAAUACAUAUAUGUUACACGCUGGAGGCUCAACGUUCAUUUGCUAGGGUUUGCUAUAUUCACAGUCUCUCACCCUCUCUUCACUAGAUCUAAACAAGACUGCGUUGGCCUCUUGUCUCUCUCCCCCCUCACAGCUAGUGAAGGAGGCGUCUGUAUCCCGUCGCACCGGGAAGGGGAGGAGGUGCAGCGUUAACUCUAUCGCCUUCGGCGAGGGAGGCAAUCCACUUCCGGUUACGCUAUUCUCUUUCACCCAGCGCCUGUGCGGGAGGGCCACCGACCCCUUCUUCCUUGCUUUCAUAUGUAGUGUGGGCAGAUCCGGACUCCCGCCGCACGCCUUGCCACAUCCCGACGACCCUAAGGUAUAAGUUUCUUUGAAACCGUCAUUGCUCUAGCUGCAUGUGGAUCUUUUUCGAUCUGUAGUCGAAUCUAGGUCUUGGUUCAAAGAGGAAAGAAAGGUGCGGUGGGGUGGAGCAUGAAUCUAGGACGUGGUUCAAUGAGGAAAGGAGGGAGGAAAAGUAGUAUAGACUGGCUAUCCAGCCGCUUUGUUGGUCGUAAAGGGAAAAAGGGGGUAACCCAGUACACACAUCUGUAAGGAACCGAUCUCUUUGUUGAAAAGGGAAAGAAACUGGGGGGUAGUUUGUGCAGGACUAGAUUUGCUGCCCUCAGAUAGGAAAAAAGUUCAAAGAGAACAAAUAUGGGACCAACACAGAUAUGCUGCUUGGCUACAUACUCUGCAUCACCCAUUUAUACGUGUGGACGCACAUGGUGCUAGCAUGUCCCAUAUAGAUAUUUUGUUGUUGUUAAUCUAAGAAUGCCGCCGGAAAAUUGAAGCAAUGUCACUGUUAAAAGUAAAUUACAUUUUUAAUGAAUGUUGUUUCAAGAGAGUGUCUCUAUUAAUAUGAAUCAAUGCUACCAUUUUAGAAAUGCUACUAUCCUACUUUGUUUUCCAUCCAAGAUAAGUUAGAUGCUUCUUUCUGUCACCGUUUGUUUCAUCCUCCAUUAUCGGCAAGUAAUUGUUUCCCUUUUUGCCUCUGUUAAAACAGGGGUAUCGAUUCAACUUGUUGCUAUUGCGACAUUUUACUUCGCUACUCGAAACACUUAUGUUUUAAGAGCGUUUUGUGCAGUUCAACUUGAAUGUCACACCAGUGACUUUGCUUAAUUUUGGUGGAACUGCACAAAAGGAGAUCGAGAUUUGUUUCCAGUGUUCCUGUCGAGUUGUUUCAAAUCUUGGUCUCUACCACAUGAUAUCUAUUCAACUUGUUGCUAUUGCGACAUUUUGCUUCGCUACGCGAAACACUUUGCUUGAUUUCAGUGCGACUACACAAAAUGAGAUUGGAUUUCCUAUUCGUGUUAGCAGAUUCGUAUUUUAUCCUGGUGUUCUCAUGAAAGGUCAGUACAGGCCUUCAUCCACAUGAUUGUGCAGUGUGCUUUGAGAUGUUGUGCUACUUGUAUUGUACUGUUUUAAAUAAAUGUUGAAUUGAAGCUAUUGUAUUGUUGUCUUUUCCCAUUAAGUAGUGAACAAAAAUGGGACCAACCCAGACAUGAUGCUUGUUGCUUUGUUACAACAAACUCUGCAUCACCCCCUUUAUAAGUAGAUGGAAGCACAUAUUGUUGUUGCGCCCACUCUCCCCUGGAACUGUUUAUGCUUUUCAUUAAUCUAAUGCCGCUGGUAAAAUUAAGCAAUGCCACUCUCAGAAUUAAUUAACUACUGAAUCUUAGUUCAAAACUGCAACACUUGUUAGGAAUUGUACUAUCCUGCUUUGUAGUUCUUUCUACAUGUUUAACCAAGGUAUUGUUAAGAUAAUCUCUCUUUAAAAAUGAAUCAGUUGCAUUGUUUUAGGAAUGGUACUUUUCUGCUUUGUCGUUCUUUAUACAUGUUGAACCAAGGCAUUGUUAAGAUAAUGUCUCAGUCAAUAUGAAUGAAUCACACUGAUGGAGAAUUGCUCCUCUCCUGCUUUGUUUCCCAUUAAGACAAGUCAUCAACUGUUAUUUCUCAGUAAUUGUUUCCCUUAUACCUAUUGUUGCUUACAGGGAUAUCAAAAUUAAAGCUCGGUUUUAUUCCGACUUCGAUUUUAGUUGAACUGCACAAAAGGAGCCAAUGUGUCCAAGGCAAACUGAUGCGUUACUGGGUCCAGUUGGUCGUUCCACUUUGCAGAAAGAAGCAGUCACUGGAUGCGGUACAUUACAGAAGGAAUGACCGAGAAGCUUUACAAAGUAUUAUUAGACAACGGUGACAUGACUAGUCUGCAGAGACCAUUGGCAAUUUAACAACACGUGGAGUGCCCUGGGCAAAAAGUGCCCAAACAAGUACAAGAAGCUAAGACAGGACACGAUCAUAGGCAUUACAUAUUUUGAAUGGGAAAAGCUUGUCAAAGUUUAAUCAUUGAUGUUAGCAAGAGUACGUUAGUUUAAUAUAUUGGAAUUGGAAAACCUUGUCAAAAUUUGCUAUUGAUGUUAGCAAGAAGACGUUAGUUUAAUAUAUUGGAAUUGGAAAACCUUGUCAAAAUUUGCACAUUGAUGUUAGCCAGAAGACAUGCAUUUGAUAUUUUUGAGUGGCACGCCCUUGCUGUAAGCAGCGUCGAGUGUUUUUUCCUAUUCCUGUGUUCAGUUUAGAAGUAAAUAGUUACUCUGCUGAGAUAUUCCUGUGUUAAGAGUUUGUUCUGAAUAUUGUCUGUGUAAUGUCAGGCCUUGUGUUUGAUUGCAAAGUUGAGCUUGGAAUGUUGUGGCAUGCGGCAUCACGAGCUGUUCACCGUGCCUCUUGAGAAUAAUGCUUUGUAUUGUUUUGCAUGUCGAUCUAAUGCCAGUGAUUUGCUUGUUAAGAAGAUCAUCCUCUUCUAUUGUUUCCGUGUGUAAGAAGUUCAUCGUCUGAUGUUUCAUUCAUAGCCUAUACGACAUGUCGGGUAGGUUAGACGUGAAACCAUAUGAUCUUUUGACCAACUCAUGAUAUUAGGCCGUGAUUGGAUCGUCGUUUUCCAACCAAAACCGCUUGUAAAACAGACGCUUGUAAAUUAAAGCAGAUGGUCUCGGGCGAAGGCGCCUGGUUGGUCGAUUUCGACUAGUAAAAUAUCGGAAGUACUUCACACACGAUAAAAACACUGAAUGACACUCGGACGAUUGCUAAUCCAGCCGUUAGCUACUGUUUCAGCCUUGCCCAUGGAUGGCAUGAUACGCACGUCAUGCAUGUAUCGUCUGGUAAUGUCAUCCAUAUAGCAAUGCUCGUAAAAUAUACACUGGUCUCUCAAAUUACACGCAUAACCCGCCGGUUUUACUUACAGACCUCGGGCCUUCCGAUGACGAGUAAAUUACACUUGUAUGUUAAUACAGGUUUGAAAUAAACCAGAGCUCCCAAGCGCGGCCUUAUCGUUUCAUGCCGUCUCAAUUUCUCGAAGGUGCUCAUAGGUGUCUGAUGAUCCUCGCUUCCUGAAUGAGUAGUGGGCACUGUAUCAGACCUCCGUAGGGCCCGCGAUGCCCUCUCCGUUGUCCUUCGAGUUGUUGCGCUCGCCGUGGCGCCGAGCAUUGUUAACAUGGUCAACGAACAUGAGGAUUCAGGAGAUGACUUUAUUUUGACUAGAUGACACUAGGGACCCACUAGGGCCAUAGCCGUACGUACGCAAGUGCCUCCUUAUUAUGUAAAACUAUAUUUUUUUGCUUUCUCCUGGUUUCCUGACAUCACAGUCCCACACCAUUGUCAACCUAUGUAGUCAAUAUAAACGAGAGAAUUGCACAAGGUGCGGCCGACAGCUGGGACCAAGCAGCUCGAGCAGUUUUUGUGUUUUUGAGGCGUGAGCACUGCAGAGUUUUUCUUGGCGAUGAUUUCGUUGUUGUUCAGAGGAGAGCAGGGUAUUAACUGGGCGGGCUGUGGCCCGUCUAGCCAGGCCAGAUAUCCAGCCCAAAUACUACUUUUUUCAAGAUGAAAAUGGCUAGCCCAGCUAUACGUCUUUUUGAGGAAUACCCAGGCAAGGUCAACUUGUUAUUCUCUGCCCCGCUGUGCUGCAAAUCUUUCCUAGGAGGGAUGAAUUAGGCUUAACAGGAAAAUGGGCUUUAAAAAUAAUAAAUGGGAUGUAAUUAUAAAAACUGCGCAGUAACUAUAAAAAAUGCACCAAACACGAAAUUAGUUUAUAAAAUAUUAUUUAUGGAUUUUGAAAAACUUAAAUUUUCAUUGUUGCGCGCGCAAUGUUUCGUUGGAGUUUUACGUAAUACAAAUUUAUAUUUAAUCUGAAUAGAAAUUUCGGGAUAAAAAUAUUUCGGAUCCCAUCAAAUUGUGGGAAAUUUUAUUGAAUUUUGUCUUCAACGGUUGGUUGAAAUUAUUAAUCGUUGUCCUAGCUAGAAAAUGGGUUGUACUUUUAACAAACUGCAAAUGGGCUGUUGUAAAUUCCAUUAGAAUUCAAAAAUGGGUUGUACAUUCUUACAAAACGCAAAUGGGCUAUAAGUUCUCUGCCACACACUUGUGGGCCUACUAAGUGACGCAUCCCCUAAAAAAAUAAGUUGACGCGUAUGCGAGGCUUUGUCAACUUAUUAUAGUCAACACACGGUUCUAGCAGCACUGGCCGUUGGAUGUCUAUCCAACGGAUGUCGUGCUUCUUCUUCAAUCUCGGAUAUUCUUAGCUUCGGCCACCCAAAAAAUGAUUCCUCCCCCUGACAUCUGGGGUGCACCAUUUCGGAGGCUGACCUCAGGGCCGGCCCUGAGGGGGGGCAGGGGGGCGGCCGCCCCGGGCCCCCGCGUAGGAAGGGGCCCCCGAUGGAUGUGUGUGAUGUUUAGGAAAGAAUUGUAAUUUUUUGGAAAUAAUUCUUUCCCGUAUUGACAGAUCGCCCCUGAUUCGAAUUAUUUCCAUGCAGCAGAUCGAUUGAUUGAUUUUUACGUGUUUGAUGUUUAGGAAAGAAUUCUUUCCCAUGUAACAGAUUGGCUAAUUAGCUCUUAAUCAAAAAUGGAAAGAACUGUAACAGACCGUUAAUUCUGGCCUUGCCUGGCACUAAUGGUGUUCUCUUCUUUCUAUUUCUUCUCUUCCAAAAUUGGCAACGAAUCAGCCAUGCCAAUGCCAAGUUCAACGUCAUGUCACCGCAUCGUCUAUUUGUGAUUUUCAGCUGCUGGACGCGAUUACUGGAGGAAGGUAAUGCGAUUUUCAAGAUUUCAUCAACCACCUCUUCUUUUUAUACAGACUAGUAUGAUUGUUGGGUUCAUGAAGUUUUAAUUCCCGUACAUAUCUCUCUCACACACUCCAAUUUCUGUAUUUUUUGGGAACAGAAAAGGGAAAUUAGGAUUUCUGUUCGUGACUCGUAAGGAGCAGCAAAAGCUUGUAAUUUCUAUUUUCUAGCCAUCAAGCUACCUUGCUCCAUGCCUCUUUCUUGUAUAUUUAAUUAGUAGUGUUCUUAACAUCUUCUAUCGCUUUUAAUUAGUUGAAAAGAAUCCAUCCAAAAAGAUAAGAAAAAACAUGCAUAUGAGUUGAUUGAGUCCUAGAAAAAGUCUUCUAGUGCUUCCUCAGAAAUAAAGUAAGCACUUCGGCUAGUGAUUGAGGAAUUAGCUUUAGUUACUGUUGAAGAACAACUUAGCGGAAUAUUAUAGGAUUAUAAAAAUUUGAGUUGUAGAGAAGUGUAACGAAUUCACCUAAUAAAAAAAUAAGUAUCAGUUGAAAAGAGUUAAAAAAUGCAUCGAUUGAAAAGUGCGAGCAACUUUUAUGUGCCCUAUUUUUUGAAUAGUUGAGAUGACAAAGCAACAUAAAUUAUAAAUUGUAGUGUAAAAUGAGUAGUAAUUUGUAAGUCAAAAAGAAAAAAAACAUAUAUAUUUAUAUGGCUUUAGGGCCCCUUUUUGUUAUCUUGCCUUGGGCCCCCGAAAUGUCAGGACCGGGCCUGGCUGACCUGUGGGCCUACUAAGUUGGAGCGUACCAAGGCUUUGUCAACUUAGUCAAUAUAAACGAUUCUAGCUUCAGUGACCAUACGAUGUCCAUCCAACGGCCGUAGUGCUUCUUCAACCUCUGGUAUUCUUGGUCCAGCCGCCCAAAGCAGCGCCAGUCGUGCCGCCUGCUCCUGCCUCCCGUGGCCGGCUGUGCUGCCGCGGAGGCCUCACCGCCCCCAUACUACUCCCACCGCUGGCCAGGCCAUCCCUCCACUCACCCACACCCCCUGUUAUUCUGCGGCGACGGUAGCCACACACCGCAGCCGAACCAGUGAACCCUCGUACUCCUCUCCGCGCGGGCUUCCACUAUUGCGUUUUCCCCAGCUCCGUGUCGUCCCCUUCCUAGGCGUCGCCGUCGUCCACCGCCCUGGUGCUCUCGGCGCGGCGUGGUCAACGUGGUCAACGACCGACUUCCAUCGGAAGAGUACUGUACAUGGAGAGCCUGACAGCUGGGUCCACGGCGGCCGCAAGGAAGUGCCUCCUUAUUACGCGCAAAAUAAUUAUUCCUCCACCUGAUAGCAGGGACCCGCCGGACGGGCCACCAUAUUUCACGAAAAAAUGUUUCCCCCCUGACUGCUGGUACCCACCGGACGGGCCACCGUAUUUCGUGAAAAAAACGUUCCCCCCGCUGUCAGCUCGAACCCACCGCAAGUGCCUCUUUAUUACGCACAAAAAAUGAAUACUCCCCCUGCUAGCUGGGACUCACCUUGGUGGGAAGCUGACUUGUGGGCCUACUAAGUUGACGGGGACGGAGGGCUUUGUCAACUUAGUCAAUAUGAACGAUUCUAGCUCUAGUGACUGUACGAUGUCCAUCCAACGGCCGUAGUGCUUCUUCAACCUCUGGUCUUCUUGCUCCAACCGCCCAAAGAAGCGCCGGUCGUGCUGCCUGCUCCUGCCUCCCGUGGCCGGCAAUGCUGCCGCGGAGGCCUCACCGCCUCCAUACUACUCCCACCGCUGACCAGGCCAUCCCUCCACUCCACUCACCCACACCCCCUGUUAUUCUGCGGCGACGGCAGCGCAGCCGAACCAGUGAACCCUCGUACUCCUCUCCGCGUGGGCAUCCACUGCCGCAUCUUCCCCGGCUCCGCGUCAUCCCCUUCCUAGGCCUCGCCGUCGUCCACCGUCGUGGUGCUCUCGGCGCGGCAUGGUGAAUGUGGUCAACGACCGAAUUCCAUCGGAAGAAUACUGUACGUGAAGAGGCUGACAGCUGGGUCCACGGCAGCCGCAAGGAAGUGCCUCCUUAUUAUGCGGAAAAUAAUUAUUCCUCCACCUGACAGCAGGGACCCACUGGACGGGCCACCAGUAUUUCACGAAAAAAACGUUUGCCCUGACUGCUGGGACCCACCCGACGGGCCACCGUAUUUCGCGAAAAAAAAACGUUCCCCCUGCUGUUAGCUCGGACCCACCAGAAGUGCCUCCUUAUUACACACAAAAAAAUGAAUACCCCCCUGCUAGCUGGGACCCGCCUUGGUGGGAGGCUGACUUGUGGGCCUACUAAGUUGACGGGUACGAAGGGCUUUGUCAACUUAGUCAGUAUAAACGAUUCUAGCUCCAGUGACCGUACGAUGUCCAUCUAACGGUCGUAGUGCUUCUUCAACCUCUGGUCUUCUUGCUCCAGUCGCCCAAAGCAGCGCCGGUCGUGCCGCAUGCUCCUGCUUCCUGUGGUCGGAUGUGCUGCCGCGGAGGCCUCACCGCCCCCUACUAUUCCCACCGCUGGUCAGGCCCUGCGGCAACGGCAGCCUCACACCGCAGCCGAACCAGUGAACCCUCGUACUCCACUGCGCGCGGGCUUCCACUGUCGCGUCUUCCCCGGCCCCAUCGUCCCCUUCCUAGGCCUCGCUGUCGUCCACCGCCCUGGUGCUCUCGGCGCGGUGUGGUCAACAUGGGCAAGGAACGAGUUCCAUCGGACGUGGACUGUAUGUGGAGAGGCUGACAGCUGCGUCCACGGCCGCAGCAAGGAUGUGCCUUCGUAUUACGCGGAAAAUAAUUAUUCCUCCACUUGAUAGCAGGGACCCACCGGACGGGCCACAAUAUUUCGUGAAAAAAAUGUUUCCCCCCUGACUGCUGGGACCCACCAGCUGCACCUUCGCACGCAAGGAAGUGCGUCCGGGCAAAAAAAAUGAUUCGCCCCCCUGACUGCUAGGACCCACCAGCUACAUCUUCACACGCAAGGAAGUGCGCCCGGGCAAAAAAAAAAUGAUUCGCCCCCCUGACUGCUGGGACCCACCAGCUACAUCUUCACACGCAAGGAAGUGCGUCUGGGUAAAAAAACAAAACGAUUCGCCCCCCUGACUGCUGGGACCCACCAGCUACAUCUUCGCAGGCAAGGAAGUGCCUGACAGUCGGGACCCACCUGGUCGAAGCGUAUGUACCGUUGUCAUUCUGGUCGCGAACGUGUACGUACAUAUAUACUGGUGGAUGUAGAGGCGUGCACGUGUCGUAGUAGAGGCACGCACGUAGCAUGUACAUGUAUGUACAGCGGCGAGGGUGCAAGAAAGAAAAUACGGCCAUGUACAUACAUACGGGCAGGGUCUCUAACGCCUAUCGUGCAUACGUACAUGGCUGGGUCGGAACGGAGAAACAGUGUCAUCGUCGUGUUCAUGGGGAGCCAACCGGCUGGGUCGGAACGGAAUGCGUGGUCGUGUUCAUCGGGAGGGCUUGGACGGAACAGGCGAUGGAAACGAGGCCUGGCGUACCGCACAAUGGAGGAAACGGCCUUGUGUUUGGCCCGCCACGUUCGAAACAGGGUCCUGUUGAUUGGGAGGGGCCUGGCGUACCGCAAAACGGAGGAAAUGAACCUCCUACGGUCGAAACGGGGGUCCUGUUGAUCGGGAGUGGUGUGGCGUACUGCAAAACGGAGCAAACGGACCUCCUACGGUCGAAACGGGGGUCCUGUUGAUCGGGAGGGGUGUGGCGUACCGCAAAACGGACGAAACGGACUUGUGUUGGAGUGCUACGGUCGAAACGGGGGGGAGGGGUGUGGCGUACCGCAAAACGGGACUCCGCAGGAUACUGUUCAUCUCCACCGUCGACCUCCUCCAGCCUCCACGGGCUACCGUCGACCUCCUCCAGCCUCCACGGGCUCCUGUUCAUCCAGCCUCCACCGCGUGCUACUCCACCGGCUACUAUUCAACCACCCCUCCACGGGCACCCCUCCAUCGUCUACUGUUCAUCUAGCCCUCCACACCACGGGGUCCUGUUCAACCACCCCUCCACGGGCACCCCUCCACCAUCUACUGUUCAUCUNNNNNNNNNNNNNNNNNNNNNNNNNNNNNNNNNNNNNNNNNNNNNNNNNNNNNNNNNNNNNNNNNNNNNNNNNNNNNNNNNNNNNNNNNNNNNNNNNNNNNNNNNNNNNNNNNNNNNNNNNNNNNNNNNNNNNNNNNNNNNNNNNNNNNNNNNNNNNNNNNNNNNNNNNNNNNNNNNNNNNNNNNNNNNNNNNNNNNNNNNNNNNNNNNNNNNNNNNNNNNNNNNNNNNNNNNNNNNNNNNNNNNNNNNNNNNNNNNNNNNNNNNNNNNNNNNNNNNNNNNNNNNNNNNNNNNNNNNNNNNNNNNNNNNNNNNNNNNNNNNNNNNNNNNNNNNNNNNNNNNNNNNNNNNNNNNNNNNNNNNNNNNNNNNNNNNNAACACUCACUAUUCAUCCCAAAGGCAGCAUCGAUCGGCUUCAGUUAGCAGCAGUAGAAAAGGAAUCGCUCCAUCGGGUUCAGUUAACAGCCAUCGAUCGAUCCCUCGGGUUCAGUAACGCGUAGCCUGCAGUGCAAUCGCUCGGGUUCAGUUAGAGCCUAACGCCUCGCUCGGCUUCAGUUAGAGCCAACGCCUCGCAAACACGCGCGUACAUACGAGAGAAACGCGCAUCACUCCGCCCCCGACCUCCCACCAUAACCGGCAACUCCCCGAAUUUUUCCUCCCCCUCGCUUCUACCACGGUUUUUUUCCGUCAUGGACGGCCCAAAGAAUGUCAUGCAGCUGCGUCUCCGGCCCGCCCAGGACGAAAAGCCCAUUUUCUGUCAUGAUUUUUUGUCAUAGAAGUAGGAGCCCACCACAUCUAUGAUGAUACCGGGUUUGUCACAAUUAUCGUCAUAGAAGUGUCAUAUGUAUGACAGAAAAAAAUUCAUUCGGCCCAAAAUGUCACGGAUGUGUCUUUUUUUGUAGUGCAUAGUUGUUGCGUUGACAGUGAAAGUAUGCUGCUCAAAAUGUUAUUCAAUCUCUAUUUUAAAAUUGAGCUCUGGCACCUCUACAAAUCCCUGCUUCCCUUUGCGAAGGGCUUAUCUAUUUACUUUUAUGUUGAGUCAUCACCCUUCUUGUUAAAAAGCACCCGUGGAGAGCACACUGUCAUUUGCAUUCAUUACUAUUGGUUUAUAUUGGGUAUGAGUUGACUGGAUCUCUUUUACCAUGAAUUACAAUGUUUAGUCAGUCCUUGAUCUUUAAAGGUGCUCUGCAUUUAUGUUUUGCGGUCUCAGAAAGGGCUAGCGAGAUACCAUUUUGUUAUAUCAUGUUAUGAUUGUUUUGAGAAAGUGUUGUCAUCCGAGUUUUAUUAUUAUGGCUCGCUAGCUGAUUAUGCUAUUGAUAUGAGUAAUUGUGAGACCUAAGUGUUAUUGUGAGUAUGGUUAGUUCAUAAUAUUUUUUGAAACUUGAAUGCUGGCUUUUCAUGUUUGCAACAACAAGAGCAAACAGAGAUUGUAAAAGUUUUUCUUUAUCACUUUCAGUUUAUCAACUGAAUUGCUUGAGGACAAGCAAAGGUUUAAGCUUGGGGGAGUUGAUACGUCUUCAAAGUAUCUACUUUUCCAAACACGUUUGCCCUUGUUUUGGACUCUAACUUGCAUGAUUUGAAUGAAACUAACCCAGACUGACGCUGUUUUCAGCAGAACAGCCAUGAUGUUGUUUUAUGUGUAGAAAAGAAAAGUUCUUGGAAUGUCCUGAAAAUCCACGGAGGCACUUUUUGGAAUUAAUAAGAUAUUCUGGGCAAAAGAAAUACACCAGGGGACCCACACCUUGUCCACAAGACAGGGCCCCCCUCUAUAGGGCGCGCCCCCCUAUCUCAUGGGCCCCCUGGACCUCCAUCGACCGCAACUCCAACUCCAUAUAUUCACGUUCGGGGAGAAAAAAAUCAGGGAGAAAGUUUCAUCGCGUUUUACGACACGGAGCCGCCGCCAAGCCCUAAUCUCUCUCGGGAGGGCUGAUCUGGAGUCCGUUCGGGGCUCCGGAGAGGGGGAUUCGUCGUCGUCGUCAUCAUCAACCAUCCUCCAUCACCAUUUUCAUGAUGCUCACCACCGUGCGUGAGUCAUUCCACUGUAGGCUUGCUGGAUACUGAUGGGUUGGAUGAGAUUUACCAUGUAAUCAAGUUAGUCUUGUUAGGGUUUGAUCCCUAGUAUCCACUAUGUUCUGAGAUUGAUGUUGCUAUGAAUUUCCUAUGCUUAAUGCUUGUCACUAGGGCCCGAGUGCCAUGAUUUCAGAUCUGAACCUAUUACGUUUUCAUGAAUAUAUGUGUGUUCUUGAUCCUAUCUUGCAAGUCUAUAGUCACCUAUUAUGUGUUAUGAUCCGACAACCCCGAAGUGACAAUAAUCGGGAUACUUCUCGGUGAUGACCGUAGUUUGAGGAGUUCAUGUGUUCACUAUGUGCAAAUGCUUUGUUCCGGUUCUCUAUUAAAAGGAGGCCUUAAUAUCCCUUAGUUUCCACUAGGACCCCGCUGCCACGGGAGGGUAGGACAAAAGAUGUCAUGCAAGUUCUUUUCCAUAAGCACGUAUGACUAUUUACGGAAUACAUGCCUACAUUACAUUGAUGAACUGGAGCUAGUUCUAUGUCACCCUAUGUUAUAACUAUUACAUGAGGAAUCGCAUCCGGCAUAAUUAUCCAUCACUGAUCCAUUACCUACGAGCUUUUCAUAUAUUGUUCUUCGCUUAUUUACUUUUCCGUUGCUACUGUUACAAUUACUACAAAAACCAAAAACUAUUAUCUUUAAUUUUGCCACCAUUACCUUUAUUGUCAUACUACUUUGCUACUAAAUACUUUGCUGCAGAUACUAAGUUAUCUAGGUGUGGUUGAAUUGACAACUCAACUGCUAAUACUCAAGAAUAUUCUUUGGCUCCCCUUGUGUCGAAUCAAUAAAUUGGGUUGAAUACUUUACCCUCGAAAGCUGUUGCGAUUCCCUACACUUGUGGGUUAUCAACCCCUCAUGUUCAUCAAUGCAAUCCGUUAAGGAGGGAUUAGUAAUGAUGGUGGUUUUGAUGUUGGGGGUUACCUUGUUAGAGGUUUUGGCCAUGAGGCACUUGGCGGUGAUGUUCUCGUUGGGUGAAUCGAAGAGAGACACCCGGGGAGUUGUGGCAAUGGCAACGGAGGCCAUGGCCAUUGCUUCACUAUCUUCAUCAUCAUCAUCAUCAUCCUGGUAUUCUUCUUGAACCACCAACCCUCGAGUAGGAGUCUUUUUGGUGAAGUUGUUCUUGUUGGGGAAGGACUUGGCUUUGUCUUUUUUGAUGAGCUUGCCACCAUUGUCUUCCCGCUUCUCGUAAGGACAAUCCACAACGAAGUGGCUCACAUUGCCACAGUUGUAACAAGUUCUUACUCGUUGCUUGCCCUUGAAGCCACUUGAGUUGUUCUUGUUGAAUUUGGGACUUCUGUUCUUCUUGCUCCAAAAUUGCCUUGAAGCAAGAGCCAUGUGCUCAUGAUAAUCAUACUUUGUAUCCUCGGGAUUGCCCUCCUCAUCUUCCUCUUAUUCCUCUUCUUCCACAAUGACCUUGGCCUUCAAGGCAAGAUUGGACUUCUUUGAUCUUUGAGAACAGAGCACCGCGUUGUCGGCGGUCUUGUCCAAAAUGCUCAUUGCAACGAACUCAUCCCAACACUUCACUUGAGGUCAUGGAGUGGAAGUUCGGUCUUUGACGGAUGACGGGGGACAUGGCCUUGUUGUAGGGCUUCAUGGCCUUGAGGAACUUGCGCUUGGUCCAAUUGUCAUCCGUAGGGUCGAAGAUGAGGAAGAUCUUCGGGGAGAAUAGCAUCUUGGAUGAUGAAGAGAGCAUUCUCAUUGAAUUGAUUAUCCAUGGCUUCUCUAGGGUGAAGUUGCUUUGGUCAUGUGGAUACAAACCUUCUUCAAUGAUUCUCCAAAGAUUAGUAUUCACAUGAUUUAAAUGACGCUUGAAGUGAUACACCCAAGAAUCAAAGUCCCCAUUUUUCACAAUCUUAGGAGGAGGGCCGGCAUGAUUUAAAUGAGUAGAGGGAAUCGGUCCUCCAUAAGUUGGAGGUUCCACAUGGGCAAAGAUGUCGGUGCCAUUUCUACCACUAGUAGAAGGACCCUUUUCACUAUUAGCUUCCCCCUUGUCGGAGUUAGCAUCCGUCACCUUGUUAGUGGGAUCACCCACUUUCAUCGGCGAGGUAGAUAGUUUAAGUCCUUCUAAGAAUUUAUUAAACAUGCUUUCAACCUUGGUUGUCAUGGAGGUUUUCAAUGUGUCCAAAGCCACAUUGAAUUCCUCACGGGACACCGUGGUUCCCCAUCACCCGUAGACGAGAUCGGAUUCACACCGGAGUGUUCCUCCCCACCGUCUACGGCGUCAAGCAUACUCUUCGGACGGCAAAGUCCUUAAUAAAGAGACAAGGCUCUGAUACCAAUUGAAAGGAUCGAUAUAGUUGACUAGAGGGGGGUGAAUAGGCAACUAACAAUUUUUAGCUUUUCUUUACCAAAAUAAACUUUGCAUCAAAGUAGGUUGUCUAAAUAUGCAACUAGGUGAGCAACCUAUAUGAUGCAAUAACAAUAAGUACACAAGCAAGCAAGGGAUACAACACAAAUAAGCUUGCGCAAGUAAAGGCACAAGAUAACCAAGAGUGGAGACGAUGGAGACGAGGAUGCGUAUCGAAGUUCCUUCCUUUUGAAGGGAAGUACGUAUCUGUUAGAGCGGUGUAGAGGCACAAUGCUCCCCAAGAAGCCACUAGGGCCACCGUAUUCUCCUCACGCCCUCACACAAUGCGAGAUGCUGUGAUUCCACUAUUGGUGCCCGUGAAGGCGGCGACCGAACCUUUACAAACAAGGUUGGGGCUAUCUCCAUAACUUAAUUGGAGGCUCCCAACGACACCAUGAAGCUUCACCACAAUGGAGUAUGGCUCCGCGGUGACCUCAACCGUCUAGGGUGCUCAAACACCCAAGAGUAACAAGAUCCGCUAGGGAUUAGUGGGGGAAUCAAAUUUCUCUUGGUGGAAGUGUGGAUCGGGGCGUUCUCAACCUAUCCCGAGAAAAUCAACAAGUUUGAUUGGCUAGGGAGAGAGAUCGGGCGAAAAUGGAGCUUGGAGCAACAAUGGAGCUUUUGGGGAAGAGCUAGGUCAACUUUGGGGAAGAAGACCCCCUUAUAUAGUGGGGGGAACAAUCCAACUAUUACCCCCCAAGCAGCCUCGCACAGAGCGGUACUACCGCUGGGGUGGGCGGUACUACCGCUGAGCCAGCGGUACUACCAUCCCACCUAGCGGUACUGCCGCGCAAAGGAAAGGAGCAAGGUCCUAGACCCUGAGCGGUACUACCGCGGUGGUAAGGGUGGUACUACCGCUUGGGAGCGGUACUACCGCCUCUACUGCCGCAGCUAGUGCCGCAAAACGCGACACGAGAAAAGGGGCCCUCGAGUCGAGGCUGUAGGAGCAUGGAGCCGCAGCGGUACUACGGCGGAAGGCUUCAAGUGGUACUACCGCUGAGGAGCGGUACUACCGCUUGUUGCGCUUGGGCGGUACUACCGCUGUGGCCCACGGUACUACCACUAGGACCAGACAAAGCAAACAGAGAGGGGAAAGAGUACUCCAUUGAAGUGGGAAGGUUCAGCGGGUGCGAUAAGGAUGUGUACGUGUUGAUUCCACCCUAGCCUUACCAAAGAGGAUCCCCUCUUGAUAGUACGGUGACUCCUACGAAACUAGUCCACCAACAUAGAAACGAAAGAGUUGCACCGUCUUGAGUAACACAUCGAGGGGAGGGAAUCAUCUCGUGUCAAAGGAUGAAUCUCUGAAAAGCUCAACGCACACGAUUAGUCCAAAAAAGCAUUGUCAUCAAUCACCAAAACACCUUAGGGAUAAAUAUGCCCUUACAGCUGAGUCCUCAUGGCUCAGAGAUUACUACAACAACAGUUGCAGGUACAGGUAAUGUGAUGAUCAUGACGUGAGAGCGAUGUUACUUGUUUUGCAGUUCUUCUUCUGCUUCUUCUUUGUUUGAGGGAUAGGUUCCUGGUCGGCAGCCUGGGCUAGCAAGGUGGAUGUCGUUUGAGUUUCUGUUUGUGUUUCAUCCGUAGUCGGAUGUUGCUCUUAUGUAUGAUGUUGUUGUAUUCAUGUGGCAUUGUAUGCCUUUUGUAUGUAUCCCCAUCCCUUAUGUAAUGGUACGAUGUAAUGAUAUCCAUCUUGCAAAAGCGUCUUCAAUAUGCGGCUCUAUCCUUCGUGGGACCUUCGAGUUCCUCUCAGAUAGGAUGGCAUGUUGGGCGUGACAAGUUAGUAUCAGAGCCUCGACCGACCAUAGGAGCCACCUUGUUUGAUCAUAGUUUUGACGUUGUCGAGUCUACAAGAAAACUAUUUCGGAGUCUAGUUAUAUCGGAGAGUAGGAAUUCUUUUUACUCCUUUGCCCCUUCGUCGCUCUAGUGAGGAAUCUUUACAUAGGUGCUUUGAUCAUUCUACUCUUCCCAUUCAAAAUUUUCUUUAGGGUCAUGCAUGUGUCUUCAUUUGUUAUCCAUCCUUUGUUCGACCGGUGAACUUCUCUUUCGAGUUGAUUCGAUCCUCUUCAUCUUUUGCAACAUCAAUCCUUAGUUCUUUCUCAACGUCGUUGUUUUCCCCGUCCUCAGUUGUCUUUCUUUUCCCACCCGCCCACCCCUUUUUCUUCUUGGAGCCGGAGUUCGUAAUUGAGUAUCCAUCCUACUCGGGCGAAGCCUCUACAUUCUUUCUUCAAUUAUCUCAAUCGGUGCUUUUCUCUCCAAGUUAUUCGUCGAUUCCCCCUUCCAAGUUGCCUUUGUUUUUCGCGCUCUCCUACCCCUUUUCUUUCCAAAGUUUGUGUCCCUAUUCAGGCAUCAAUCUCAUUCGUGCGGAGCCUCUUCAUUCUUUCCUUAAUUAUUUCAACCGGUGGAUUCUAGUUCGUCCGACUCUCUCUCAUUUCCUUCAACUGGUGAAUUCUUGUCUAGUUCAUCAUUGUUCGUCUCGUUUUCUUUUCUGGUGGAUUCAAUUCAAGUAUUCGGUGUUGAUCAUAUUCUUUCCCUCGGCUCAAAUGUUUCCUCUUCCUCGUUCGUCUCUCACUAUUCUAUUGCCCCCAAGUGUUGAAGUUAUCUCGAAGAUUCGUGUUUCAAUCAAGACUAGUUCGUUCCAUUUGAGGUUGUCACCUCAUUCAAGUCUUUCAAUCAUUCCGGUGCAUCAUUUCUCAUUCGACAAUCCGGUCCAACGGUGCUUCUUUUCAGUGGGCCCUAACCCACAGGUGUUUUCCAAGGAUCUUACCUGACACUUCUAAUUCUUCUGAAGUUAUUUUCAAAUCCUUCUCAAAGUGUGACGUAAGGAUGAAUUCAUCAGUCAGACACCUCCUUCGAUAUCGCUUUCAAAUCAUUUUCAUCUUCCGCUCGACCUUUACUCUUUUCAUUCUUCCGGAGCGUCUCAACAAUUUUGGUGACGGUUCUAGUUGUCAUUCUCUACAUUUGAAGACCGAAGAAGAGUUCUUCCUAAAUCUUACCCGUUCUCUUGAGGAUUCGUGGUUCUAGCUUCAUGUUAUCCUCUCGAAUUAUUCUAUUGUCAGUAAUUCUUAUCUUACCCAUCCGGAGCAUUUCAGAAGUUGUUUUACUUUCUAGAUCAUUCGGAGGUCAUCAUUCUAGAAGAUUUCUUCGUUCUGAGUUUUCAGCUUCGUUCUCCUAUUAUUUGAAAUUGAUGCCUCUUCGUUCGUCUCCAUAUUCUUCCGGUGCUUCGAUCAAGUAUUCUUUAAUCAGUUCGCAAUCUUUUCGUUCUCUUUUCUCUAAAUUCCCUUAAGUAUCUAUCUUUGUCUUCUAAUUCAUAUCAGCGAUUCAUUCUCCUUUCUUGUUCAUUUGCAAAUUCUUACGGUGGUUCAUUUAAGAUUUUCUCAUCCGUUCUUAUCAUAUCAAUUCAUUUGUUCUUUCCAAUCCUACCGGUGGUUCAGUAAGACCUUCUCAAGUUUGCGCUAUGUCACUCCUCAAUCCUUUUCAAGAGGAAUAAGUUGCAUGCCAAAUCGGUUUGUCAUCAGUUAAAUUUGAUGAGGAUAAGCAUAACAUAAUUCUUAUUCUUAUUUCAUCGUGGUCAAGUAAUUCCUUCCUUUAGAGAUUAAUCAUGAUGAAUAAUUUCUCGGUUCUAAGUUGUUCGUCUUUCUUUCCCGGAGUUCAAGUUUCCUCAGCCAUAUCGUCGGAACCUCUAUCCAAAUCACUACAAGGCUUUAAUCUUAGUCUUUCCAUUCUUCAUUUGUAUCUCUUCAUCCUUCCAUCACCGGAGUUCUUCAUGGUGGUUCUUCAUGAUUUAAUCCAUUCUUCAAAUCCGCCAAGAUUCUUGUGGAGCAGCUCAAGUAUCUUUCUUCUUGCGUUGCAAAGUGCAAUUAAUUCUAUAUAUUCUUUUGAAGCCGAGUUUUAUAUUUCUUCGUUCUUCUCGUCUAUUCAAGCAUUUGGUUGUGGCAUAAUUUCACCUUAAGUUUUGAGAUGUUUUUCCAUAAGUCCACAACAAGCUUAUUCUUUUGUUGUUGAUUUUCUCAACAACUCUGUUCAAUCCUUCCUUCUAAGGAUGCUAUCGAAUUCAUUCAUGUUCGAAGUUGUUCUUCUCUUAUCAGUUCUUUUCAUUCCAUUAUUUCAAUUCUUCCGGAGGCAUUGUGUUGUUCAUCUCGUCAAGUGUCAUCCAUUUUGUGAAGUUCAUGUUCUAUUCCUUCAAUUUUCAACUGGAGUGCUACCCAAAUUCUUUCGUUCUUACUCCUUCUCUACCUUGUUCUAAUCGGACUGGUUUCAUAGUCUAUCUUACUCCUUAAGCCUUUUAUUCUCGUCAUAAUCAUCGUUCCUCUUUUCUACCGAGUGCUCUCAACUUUGUUCAUCCUCUCUCUUGCGUUAUUACUUCACCUCUUCCUCUUUCUCUUCUGUCUCGUUCCUAAGAUCUCGGGACGAGAUCUUCUGUUAGUGGAGGAGAGUUGUAACGCCCCAAGACCGAUGCGCUAGGUGUUCUCUAGUUAUUCACUUGCGUGUUGCACUUUGCCAUGUCAUCAUGUGCAUUUCAUUUGCAUGUUUUCAAAACUUGCAUCCGUUCGGGUCUCCCAAUUCUCUUUGUUGUCCGUUUUGAGCCCAGACCACACUCGCACGCACCCGCGGCACCUCCGAAAUAUUAUUUCAUAAGUGGCAUAAAAAUGUUCUUGUAAUGGGGUGAAAAUUGGCAUGCAGUCUUAUUAUAGUGUAGGUAGACCGCCUGCCAAAUUUCGUCGCAUUCGAAGUCCGUUUGAUAGUCCAACCGCUAAACAUAUAGCCGCGAUAUAGUGGGUUUAAAUGUCAGACGUUUCGGUCUCCGAAACUGUUGCCGGGCUGCCCUCCUCUUCUCUCUUCUAAGCCUAGCCCAUCUAAACACAGCCCACUAACACCUCCUAGGCCCAGCCUAACCCUAUCGUGUUCGGAACCGUUGGAUCGUGAUCCGAGGGUUCGAAAAUGAAGCCCCGAACAAAUCCGGGUGCGCCACGUCGCCUCCACCACCGCCACGGCCAACCAGAGGCCUCCACGCAGCCUCCCCGCGUCCCCUACCUGCUCUGCGUCGCCCAGGCCCGGUCGGCCCAUCUGUGGCUUGCCCCGGGCCGAUCUGAGCCCGAGGCGCCCGCACCGCACUUCGCCCGUCCCUGACGCAUCGCCCCGCCUCCGACCUCGCCGGCUGCCGCUGCCCCCAGAGCGUCUCCCCGCGCGCGUCGCCCGCUCCGCCGCCUAGAGCUCGUCGGCGACCCCCAGGCCAGGCUCCGUCGCUUCGCCUCGCCCCACCUCAUCAUCUCGGCUCCGCCCCGAGCCCUGAGACCGCUGCCGGCCGGCCUCGAGCUCCCGCCUGGACGCUGUCAUCCCGGUUCACCCCGACCCUCCAUCCAAAUGGCUGGACCCGUCCCCGCACCGUCCCGUCCAAUUUUUCCCUGAGGUCUAUUUCUGCUAAGUCCCUAGAUUUCAGCAUUAUGUUGCAUUAUUGUUUUGGGUGUAACUUUGUGCAUAUUACUUCGUUCUCCAUGCAUGAUAUGUCAAAAUGUUAAUAUCUUGAUGCUAUACAUUAUGGCUGCAUUUGCAUUCGUUUUACUCUUCAGCUUGAUGCCUUAAUCAUCGUUGCAAAACUGGCAGGUGAUAAACUGCUGAAAUCUGCUACCUGUUAACAUCAUGUAAGCAUCUUGUGAGUGUUGUUACAUUGUCCCUAUUGAUCCUAUGGUGAUGAUAUUGAUAAUCAAAUUCUUAGCUCAGAGUUCUCUACAUGUUCGUGUACUUUUAAUUCAUGUUAGGGUGCAUCUUGACAUGUUAAUCCCUGUUGCAAAAGUGCUUGUUGAUGUUAAAUGCUGAAAAUUGUUAUAACUUGCAUAUUUGUCUUUUUAUAUCUUUUUGUGUGAUUUCGUUUUGAGCAUCAUAUAUACAUGUUUUAGGAGCAUAAUCGUGCCAUAUUUGCAGUGGUGCAAUCCAUUUAUUCUGAUAUGCCCUUUGGUGAGUGCAUCAAUCUUGUGAAGUGGGCUACUUGCUGUUAAUGUUCUGCCAAGUCUGAAUCUAUUAUAUCAUGUGCUAUGUUUACUUGAUACUACCAUCAAAUCCGUGGAUAAUCUGGAGAUGCUUAUUUGACAUGUUUUGAUGUAUAUAUUGCUAUAUAUCAUUCCAUUCCAUUUGAUGCAUCAUAUAUGUCAUGUAGCAUAUGUUUGCAUUGCUAUUAACUUUCCUAAAUGAUGUGCCAGUUUUCUCUUAACUUCAUGAUGCCAUGUUGUGAGCUUGAUAUUAAUUAAUCUCUGCCUCUUUUGGAGAUGCUCAAAUUACAUGAAUUGAAUCAUGAUUUGAGUAAUUUGUCCACAUGCCAUGGUUGAUAGUUUUGGACUUAAUAUGACCUACGUUCCAAGCUUGCAAACAUGCUAUGAUGAUGUUGAUGUUCUACACUUGCUGAAACUAUUACAACAUUCAAACUUGUCUUGAUGGUUCCCACUAAUCCAUGAGUAAUAUGCAUAUAAUUCCUCGAUGUUAUUUGCUCUUUAUUAUGUGUACUUUGAUGCAAUGCCCUUGGUUGCUAUGUAUAUUUGCUGUAGUAUCUUUGUUUCUAGCCUCCAACAUGUCAUCAUAUUAACUCUGCUCAUGCAUAUGCCCUGUUUUUCACCAUCAUAGUCUGUGUUAUGAAGUUGCUUUUUGCAUUGAUCAUCUUGAAUUAAUCUUGAUGCCUAUGAACCUGAACCUUAAUUAUAUUUGAAUUAUGUUAUCUGUACUUUGAGUGCAUAUCAAGUUUGUGUUCAUAUCUUUCCAGUAGCAUGUUGUUUUGAUGAUUGCAAAGUACCUAUUUGCUGUUUUGGGUAGAUUGUUGUUGUAACUUGUUUGGAGUGUAUGUGUUGAACCGUUGCUCUGUUUUGAUCAUGUUCUAUAUGAAACUUGCUUAGAAUUGCAUUUAGUUUCAUAAUAUCUUGUUUCAUUCAUGUUUUGAGCAUGUGAGCUUAAUGUUUGUAUGCAUUUUGCAUUAAUGACGUGUUUAACUUGUUUUGCUCAUAUCUUCUAGGCCGUAGCUCCGAAUUAAAUGAACCUUAUAUAUAACUUGACUAGAAAACCAUGUUGAUCAUCAUGGUGCAUUUUAACUUGUUGUUUAACAACUUGAACAUGAUGUGUUAUUCAGAUCUCGACCAAUUUCGAAAUUUGCAUAUGAGGACUUACCAGAAUUGUUAUAUGUUGUUUCCGGCCUCAUUUAAACUUGCUUGCAUGUGAUGUUCUUGUAUGCUCCAUCUCUUACCAUGAGUAUCAUCAUAUAGCCUUGUCUUGCAUCAUACUUGGCUGAGCAUCAUGCCAUGUUUAUGUGUUGUGUGUUUACCUUGUUGUUUGCUUCUUUCCGGUUGUGCUUCUUCUCGAUAGUUCUUGUUUCCUUCUCCUUUCUCUAACAAAGGGCGAUUGAUCUUCCUAUGUAGUUAUGUCUGCUUACCACAGCCACAUCGUCCCCCCUCAUCAUUCGUGCAUGCCUCCUAACCCGUCUCUCAAACGCACGUGCACACAUAACAAGCAGCCAUCUCCUCUCUUAUUGAUAUUGCGGGCGUGCCCUUCAUUUGUCUAGCAAGCCUAUCCCACCAUUUGUUAGAAGCAACUCCACUACCACCCCCUCCAACACUCUAGCUCUGUCUCUCUCCCAACCUUAUUCCUCUCAUGCACAUAUGCAUGGAUGCCGAUCGAUCUCCUUAAUACAUGAGGUAGUCCUCUCUCCUCCUCCACACAUAUACCAGCCAUUGUACCUCUAUAGUUAAUUGGGCCUCCCUCUUCCCCCACCACACACUGAUAGUUGAGCGCUACAGGUAGGUAUCCAUGCCACAGAGACAAACUGCACAUGUCCCCUCUCACGUUCCAGUAGGCCAGCCACUCUAUAUCUUUGAUGUGGGCACACACAAAUUCGAUGGCACUCUUUAUCGAUCGCGCGCACACGCACACACAUCAUCCCUCUUUUCGAUUCUAUGGACACCUCAAGCCGGUGAUACCUCCACUCUCUUCUCAUGGAUCACCCCCUCUAUAUAUAUGUUAUAUCUAGGACUCUAUUUCACACACAUUGCAUAUGUUACAUUUUAUGAUUGAACCCCCCCCCCCAAAAAAAAUCUCAAGAACCCACACACUAUAUCUCUCUAGGUUUGUAUCUCUCUCACACAACCCCACGUAGGUGGUGUACGUAUACAAGAAGAGAAUAGGUGCACCGUGCACGUACUCACGCAUCGUGCCUAGCCACACCCGCGCGGGUACAUGAUGGAGCUCAUUUCUUUACGAAAUGGCAGCCCACAUGCUAAUUUGAACGCCUGUAGCGGUUGUUUACCUAGGGAGAUCGUGUACCACACCUACACGAAACAAAGUUCGACUUGACGCAUUGCCGCGUUAUUUUUAAAUAAAGUUAUAGCGCUCAAUGGCACGUAGACAGAAUAUAAAUGAUUUUUAUGGAGAAAAAGGUAGUCCGCUCACUAUAUAUUAUGGAGCCUUGCGUGCCUGGUUUGUCGCUCUUUAGAGUAUCUCACACAAGGUUGCGGUGGCCUCUCUCUCUCUCACCAUUGGUCAUUGAUCCGACCGCAUCCCGUCUACCGGGGGAAAGGGAGUGCGGUGGCCUCUCUCUCUCUCACCAUUGGUCACUGAUCCGGCCGCAACCCGUCCGCCGGGGGAAAGGGAGGAAGUGCAUCGUUUCUCCGUUCGACGGCGCCGAGGCAGCACGUCCCGAUCUGUGGUCUACGCCGUUCUCUCUAACCAAGCUCCGGCGUAGCAGGGCCUAUGCCACCUGCUCGCAGAUUCCGCCCGUCGCCGCUCACCUAGUUACAUCCCGAUGACCUCCAGGUAUCCCCUCCGGCCUUGCUCCACUGCCCGUCUUCCCACGUCGCUGCAUGGAUCUUCCAUAGUUCUUUGCCCAAAACGUAGCUCGUCCAGCGUACUUUCCAUAUUGCAUUCUCGUCCUCACACCGUUUUAGACAAACACAACCGUGUUGUUAUCUUCCCUUAGGGAAAGGAAUAUGCUUCUUUUUUGUCGUCGCAUGUUUCAUCAACUGUUAUUGGCCAGUAAUUGUUUCCUUUCUACCUCUUUUUUGCAAACAGGGCUAUCCAUUUCACCUCAUUGCUAUUGCGACCUUUUGGUGAACUGCACAAAUCACUUUUUUCUUAAGAGUGUUUUGUGCAGUUGUACUAAAAUGUCACAUGGGCAACGUCUCUACAUUUCAGUGCGACUACACAAAGGGAGAUUAGUUUUGCUCUAUCCUCCUCAUCCAACUCCGAGCCUAAUCUUCUCCAACUAGUUAGUCUUAAAAGAGACUGCAAAGGUGACCGGCUUCUAUUUAUGUGUUUAUUGUUUCAUCAGCAGUCCUCUAUUAUCGUAAUCACACUUAAUAUCUUUGGAACAGGGACGCUCAGCUCUAUUUUAGUGGAACUGCACAAAAUGAUCGGAAUGUUGCAUACUCCAGACAGCUACUUUUUUUCCCAACAUGCCUUGUUGAUUUAGACAGAGCUGGGGGGAUGUUGCUGCCAAUGAAAGCAUGGAUCAAUUUUAAUUUAACACCUUCUCACAACUCUGUCUUCAGUUGUGAUGUAAUUAUUAGCUUUGAUCUGCUAAUAAUUGACAUGCAUUAGCAAGGAAGUUAGUUUUUUAUUGUUUCCGAAAGAGCAUCGAUGGCAAGACACGCGAAACAGAAGAUGAAAGCUCACACCAUUGUACAAUUUCAUGUCUCGCUGGAAAAUUAUUUGUAUAGUAUGUCAAUUAUGUAAACAAAUGGAAGCUUGAUAGCAUUGCCAAAAGCCUCUUCAUCAUCCGGGUCCAUGUGCCAUGCACAAAAUUAUACUCCUUCAUUCCUAAAUAUUUGUCUUUUUACAAAUUUCAAACGGGCAUAUUUUAGAGUGUAGAUUCACUCAUUUUGCUUCGUAUGUGUACUCCCUCCGUUCCUAAAUAUUCUAUUCGUCUUUCUAGAGAUUUCAACAAGUGACUACAUACGGAGCAAAAUGAGAGAAUCUACACUCUAAAAUAUGUAUAUACAUCCGUAUGUGCCUGUCCAUUUGAAAUCUCUAAAAAGACAAAUAUUUGAGUAGUCACUCGUUGAAAUCUCUAGAAAGACAAAUAUACUCCGGAGUAUAUUUAAGAACCGAGGGGGUAGUGCACAACCGCAUGGGAGACUCAGCCUGGUCGUUGCGCCGCAUUAAUAGUGAGUAAUGAGCAGUCAAAUCGUAAGCCCCACCUUUCCCACUGUAAGUUGCUCUGAAGAAGCAACCAUCAAUACGCUCUUCUUUGAAUCCGCUCAUACUACUCCAUUCGUCACUGUUUAUACAGGGGAACGACUUGUGUAGAAUCUGAGCUUGCUGUACAAAAAUAGAAGAAAUGAUGUUGGGCCGUUGGAUGAGAGAUUGAUGGCACAGGUCUGGAUAGAGGGAUCUUUGCACAAAAUUUGCAAAAAGGUCCAGCGCUACAAGCAAAUUUGCUUUCGCUGCCCUCCCUAGUCUCUACCAAAUCCUUACACAACGAGGGCACAGGAUCAAAAAUUCCUCAGCGGCAAGGCCGGCAGCGGCGGCAGCUCAGAUCCAGAGCCAAGCCGGGCGGGCUCGUGCAGCAAAGAUGCUGAUCCAUCUCCUCUCCAAUGGCUCAUAACCGUUUCGUCGCUGGUGGCGCAGUUUGAGGCAGAUUAGAUCAGAUUCCUUACCUCCUCCCCACUCUCAGGCUCCCAGAUCAGCUCGCGGCCGUCCUCCUCCACCCCCCACCCCCACUCCCUCUCGUGAUUCAGCACUAGCUCUCGGAGGUCGUGGAUCCUCGCCUCCUUCCCGGCCGGCCGCUUCUGGUUCUCCGAACAGGCCACCCCACCACAGUUCUUCGUUCUUCAGGUAAAUAUAAAUGUUUAAUUUUUAUUAGCUAUGAGAUUGGUAGUACAUCUCUAUAGUUUUUUAUUCUUUCUACCUGUUAUUGUCGAAUCUAUCCAUUUAGUUGUUGGGUAUUGUGUAUUGCCAACAGAAGAACAAUGAACAACAGCUUGAGUACAGUAGAAGCAGAUCCAUUCUGGGGUGAUGCUUAUGUUUGUUGGAUUCUUAUUUUACUCAGACGCAGCAUGUUGAUUAGUGCUAUGACAUAAUUAUGGUAUUGUGUAUUGCUACCAUAAGCAGCGCACCAACUGUACAUAAAUGCUAACCGGUUUCUAGCCGGAAGCAAUACACUAGCAAAUCUAGCUAUUCUGGUGAUUCUUCAGUGGCAAGCCAAAACGCAUACACAUGAGACACAGUGGCUAUUUUUUCUCUCUCUCUCCAUGAAAAGAUACAUAUGCUAAUGCAUGGAUAUAUAUGCGCCCGUGCGGCCAACUUGUACAACACUGAAUCUAUUUCAAACCGGUUACUUCCCUAAUCUAAUCACUAGGACUACAAUAGGAAACAAACAACUAUUCUCUAUGGACAAGUUUGUUUAUUCCAACAGCUUGGUGGAUCGCUGCUAGACAACUUUCCAAUUAGCUGAAGCAAAUGGAACAAGUUGAUAUGUUGUGGUACAUUGAUUCAUUUAUUCUGGACGGAUGCAUCAAGUAGGAAAAACUAUGGGCAUUUCAGCGAUGUCAUAUCUUUUGAUUCGACAUACAGCACUAACCAACAUGAAUACACGUUUGCGCCCUUCACUGGAGUAAACCAUCAUAUGCGAAGUGUCUUGUUUGGGGCGGGGUUUCUACUUCAUGAGAUAGAAGAAUCCUAUACUUGGUUGUUCAGGUCAUUUCUUAGAGCAAUGGGUGCGGUUGCGCCUAGAGUGAUCAUAACUGAUGAAUGUGUUAAGAUGAAAAAUGCAAUUGGAAAAACUCUAGCAAAUACGACACAUCGAUUGUGCAUGUGGCACAUUAUGGAAAAGGUUCCAGGGAAGGUACGUCCGGAGUUGAGGAAUAACCUUGUGUUCUAUGAUAGGCUAAAAUAUUGUGUGUGGAAUUCUGAAACACCUGCUGAAUUUGAGGAUAGAUGGCAGUCUUUCAUCACAGAGUUUUAGUUGGAGGAGCACGAAUGGUUCGCCAAAAGGUAUAGGCUUCGUGCGACAUGGAUACCAGCUUAUUUCAUGGACAUUCACUUAGCUGGUCUACUCAGGACAACUUCUAUUUCAGAGAGUGCAAAUUCAUUUUUUAAACGUUUCAUCCGUCGCAAGCUUACCUUUGUUGAGUUUUGGCUUAGAUUUGACACUGCUUUGAAAGCUCAAAGGCAAAGUGAGCUAAUGGCUGAUAACACAAGUGAAUACACAACAAGUGAGUUGUUGACAUCAUGGGAAAUAGAGAGACAAGGCAGAGCACUAUUCAGACAUGAGGUUUUUGAAUUGUUUUAGGCUCAGGUGCUUGCUGCCAGAGAUGAUUGUGAUGUUCAGCAGACAGAAAAUCGUGAGGGAAUUAAAAUCAUGUUUGUCAGCGAUCAAUACAAGAAGAUUAGAGAAGUGUGUUAUGACACAACAUCCAUGAGUGCUAAAUGUUCUUGCAAGCUUUUUGAGUCCAAGGGAAUUGUGUGUCGUCACAUUAUCAGGGUAUUGAGGGGUGCAAAAAUAAAUGAAUUGCCAAGCCUUUAUAUUCUUAAGCGAUGGCAGAAAAUUUGCAAAAUGUAUAUUUAUUAUCAUGUAGAUGUAGAUACAUUAAUCUACCUUGACUCACAUGAUGUGAUUUUUUUUCCUAUUUCCCAGGGACAUUGUCUAUGAUGGGGAAGGGAAUAUUCUUGAAGAAAAUUUAAUAGAUCCGAUUGACAUUACUGUGAAAAGGAAGAUAGUUUCUGUGAGGGAUAAGCUAGAAGAUCUCAUACGAAAUUCCAAACGCUCCAUGGAAGGAAUUGAAUUCCUGCACAAUAGUUUGUGUAGCAUUGAGUUGGGUUUAGCCCAACUAGUUUCGGCUGUACCAUGCAAUACACAAGAAAAUGAGGAGUCGUGUAUUGGGAGCAUCAUUCCAAAGCAUGUUACCAUCCUCACACCUUAGGAUAUCAAUGCAAGGGGCACAUGCUCUAGAAUAAAGGGGCAUAGGGAUGGUGUGAGGAGUGGAUCUGGUGAGAAGAGAAGGCCUGGAAUUCAUCAAAAAGUCACGCGCAAAUGCAGCAUUUGUAAGGAAAUGGUGUUUCAUGAUGCAAGAACAUGUUGUAAGAAACAAACGACAAAACAAUAGAGGUUUGUGCUUCUUCUUGCUUCGAAGACUACCACUUAUUUGUCUUGCUAUGACCGCUCAACUAGGUUGAUUGAAACGAUUAGGCAUACAUAGAUAAUUUACCAGAGAUGUGUGUGCCUUCAAUUUUACUGACCUAUGGUAUCGCUACAGCAAGGAGUAUAUGAUUUAGUACUAAUCCUUCAUCCAUGACAUGAGCCUAUCUGGCAUCUUGUUCAUUUAUAUUUUCCUGUGCUGUUGUGUUUUCUAUUAUGUUUCCUAGGUUGGAGUGCUGAAUGAAUCUGGACAUAUAGAACGACUGUCUCUCUUCUCAAGAUAUGCUAUUUGGUAUAUGUUGUUGACUGACCCCUAUUUACUUGUGUGUUCACCUAGGUAGAUCGAGCUGAUCAAGUGUAUGAGAGCCCAUGGAGGUUGUCAUCUCUUUCCCAGCAGGAAGCUCGAUUGCUAGGAAGCACUAACACGAGGCAAAACGACAAAUAUUUUUGGUCUUGUACCAGCAAGAUGCUUGUUGGGCGAUGAUAAUUUUAGUCUUUACCACUUGGUCUUGUCGGCCAUGUACUAAAAAUGAUCUGUAUGCCUCAUGUACCCAAGUACUCAAAUGCUUUCUGAGCACUGAUAAUUUCAGUCCUUAAUUUGCUCUACUUCCAGU